AUCAAUCCCAAAAAAUUCAUCAAAAAUGGCGUCGUCUAAAAUCACCAAAUCCAUCACUCGAACUCUCUACGCUUCUCGCCACUACCCUCGCUUCCUCUCCUCUUCCGCUUUAUCUUCGCAGUCAAUAACACAUCCUCCACCUCUUCCAGCCGUCGGAUCAUCACCUCAACCAUUAUUUCCGUCAAUAACAUAUCCUCCACCUCUUCCAGCCGUCGGAUCAUCACCUCAACCAUUAUUUCACCUUUCCCAUUCCCUUCUACCCAAAAACCCUAAUUUCCUCAAACCGUUCAGUCUCAGUUCUGUUAGGUUCAGAGUGAACCGGGCCGGUAACUCCCCUUAUACUCCGGGUACCGGCGAUCGGGUUC
rnacentral:lncRNA from 1 species